AAGAAAAGAGUGUGAGAGCAGCUGGGGCGGGGCCUCCAGGUGUUUAGAAGCAGAAGGUUUCCUUCUGUCUGUUGUCAUUUGUCAAGCCCUCUCUGGGCACAGCCUCCCGGGGGAGACGGGGAGACGGGCGGUCAGCUGCACUUCCAAGGAGGGCUGAGGUGCCUUCCCUUUCUCUCUCUCUCCGUCCCUGCAGGAAGAGCCUGGCCUCUCUGACUGACAGUGACAGAUUAUCUUAUCAAAACAUGGGCCCGGGACCACACUGUGAUUGGCUGGGCAGAACCAUGGGGCUGGAGGAGUCUUCUUGGAGAGAAACGAUUAUCAGGCAUUUUAAGAACAGGGAGCUGAAUGCUACUCACAGCUGGCAGUUCUUGUUUAUGACAAGUAAUAAUUGCCUCAGGUGCGGAGGAAAGCCGGGGAAGGCUCAGUGAGUUCAUUCCGAGAGGACGCUCUGAGCAAGGGUUGGGCUCUGGACACAAAGGCGUGAGGGGAAGCUGGGCCAGGGGGCCUCAGAUGGACUCACUGGGGGCUGGGGGAGCAUCAUGAGUGGCCCUGAGUGAAGAUGUGUUUCCAUCUGUGCCCCUGGGAAUACCUUCUGCCAGUCUUUCUUGGGUUCUUUGCUCUGUGGGAAGGCAGAUACCACAUCAUGAAUCAGUGCUGUGGAGAAGUUCAUGUGAAGAGGGGGUCAAGGACUGCAAACAACCACAUAAAUGAGCUUGGAAGGAGAUCCCCCCAGUUGAACCUUUAGAUGAGACCACGGUGUCCAACAGCUUAACUGCAAUCUCACGAGAGAACUUGAGCCAGAGGCACCCAGGAGUUGAUGGAGGAUGCUGAGGCCUGAGGCCACGCUCCUCCAGCUUUUCAAGUCUCGGUGAUUUUGGAAACAGCUGCAGGGACUUCACCCCCUGCCAGGCUUUGGACAGCGGUGGCCCCUUCAGAUCAGUGGAAGGCUCUCCUCCUUUUCCUUCCUCCCUCGGAGGUUUUCUUUUUGCACGUUGGACUUCUCUUCAUGGAUCAUCUGCCAGAUAGGUGGACCAAGAAUUCUUACUCUUUACAGAUUUUCUUCCCUUAAUGGUCCUGUUCUGUGCUGUCACCCUGGCACUCUUAGCAGCUGGCAGGAAAUGUUUAUAGAGCAAGCUUUUCUUUCUCUUUUUAAUAGCCUUCUAGGCUGCCACCUCCCAAAUAAGAACCUCGUUAACCAGAAGGACUCUAGGCUACUGAUUUAUAUUCCAGUCAUACCAAGAGGAAAAGAAAUGACAAAGGGAAAAAGAAAAUGCCAAAGUAUCCAUGGACUGGUUCCAACACCCUGUCUGAUGACGAGUGUGUAUAUCUAUUUAAGUUCUGGGUGCUAAGGGAUUCCUUCCAGAUUUUAGUAUUUGACCUAUUACCCUUGUGUCACAUGGAUUCUCUGUACCUCUUGUGGGUUUGCUGAAAACAAGGGUAAGAAUUUAAUUGUUCCAUGCCAUUUAAAUAAGAAAUCUAUUACUUUCAAAUAAUAAAGGCACUUAUUUCAACAGAGAUGUUAGUAUCUUAGUAAAGAUGGUGUCCAAGCUCACGGUGUCUUCGGAGGAUGGCUAAGGGCUCACCGCCUAUCACCCUGCACAGACACUGAAGGGCCAGCAUCCCUCCGUGAGUAGUGACCCGAGGGCCAUAAAACACAGCUGAAAGUCUUUGGUGGUCCGAAUUCCAGCUCAGUGCUUCAAGGAAGGCUUCCAGGAGGAGGAAGUGCCUUUGGAAUGGGGCUUUGGAACUGGCGUCAUAGAGAACGCAGGCUGUUCCCCAAUAUCCACGCCCCUCUACUUCCAUAGUAGUAGAAUCCCUAAUUUUUAGCUGGGGCCUCCCCCAUACAAAGUAAAGUUUUUUUUUAAUAUUGCUUGCAACAAUGGCCCCAAUUAUUCCCCUUCCUGUACACACAUCCUUCUCCAAAGUGACUUUGUAACCCCUCCUAUUUGGUGGUGGAGUCUAUUCCCCACCCCCACCUCCCACCCCCAACUUGAAUCCAGGCCAGACUUGUGACUUGCUUUGGCCAAUACAACGUGAUGGAAGUGACAUUGUGCCAAUUCUGAGCCUAGACCCCCAGAGGCCUUGCACGCUUCCACUCAAAAUCUUGGACUCCUGCCCAACCACCAUGUGGACAAGCCAGAGCUAGCCCUCUGGAGGAUAGGAGCCCACCUGGAGCAGAGACAAACUGUCCUAGCUGAGGUCAUCCUAGACCAGCCAGCACCCAGCCAAGCAGGCAGCUGACUGCAGGUACACAGUAGGCUCAGCCAAGACUACAAAAACUACCCAGCUGAACUCAGCCCAAAUGGCCAACCCAUAGAACCAUGUGCUAAAUAAAUGCUUAUUGAUUUUACUUUUAACAAAUUGUUUUAUUGAGGUCAUAUUGGCUUAUAACAUUGUAUAAAUUUCAGAUGUACAUUAUUAUAUUUCAGUUUCUGUAUAGACUGAAUUGUGUUCACUACCAACAGUCUAGUUUUCAUCUGUCACCAUACAUAUGUGCCCCUUUACCCUUUUUGCCCUCCCCCCACCCCUUCCUCUCCAGUAACCACCAAUCUGUUCUCCUUAUCUAUGUGUUUGUUUGUUUAUCUUCCAAAUGUGAAUGAAAUUGUAUGGUAUUUGUCUUUCUCUGACAUUUCGCUUAGCAUAAU
ensembl:lncRNA